rnacentral:tRNA from 1 species
GCCCAGCUAGCUCAGUUGGUAGAGCAUGGGACUCUUAAUCCCUGGGUCAUGGGUUUGAGUCUCCAUGUUGGGCG